UGUUGAAUUCCCCGCCACGCUGCAGCCGGGCUUUGUUGGUAAACUGGACUACUACGGACUGGGCGACUAGUGAGGUUAGGAGGUGAGGAGCCUGAUAAAGGCAACAUUGCUUUAUACUCCUGAUAAAAUGCAACAUUGACGGCAACAGCAACACGGUUAGUUAAAAUAGAAAGCAUUUUACCCGCAGUGUACUUCAAAAAGGAAAGUUUAUAAUGUAUCAUUUCCUUCGGGACUGCUUUCAAGGUGAUGGAUUCUAGUAAUCUGAGGUGAAGGAAUGGAUUGCAUCCUUUAUGUGUGCUUCCUCCUCUUUUGAGUGAAAUGACAGCCAGAUGGGGCCCUCUUGCUUUCAGGAAGGUGUGUGGUGGCACCUGAGCUAGGGAGGCAGAGGGAAUGAAUGGAGAAAAGCGUCAUCAAGACCAAGAUUUCCAACUUUAGUUUUUGGAGACCGAAGUGAAAAUAACGUUAUCCUCUUGACUACUGGACAGCACUACAUGGGUCACUCCUGAGGAAUGUCUACCCUUGGACUAGUGAAAACAGCUAAUGUAAGACAGGUGAGAAUGCACUACAAUAUCCUCCUUUUGUUUUGCACAUAAUAGUGGUGAAAGAAACCAUUUAAGGCAGU